AUGUUUCUUCGAGGAAGAGCAUUAGAGAAGAAUCACGUCCAACACUAUCCCCUUGGGAGCUGUUUGGAGACACACAAAACCCAAACGCUGUUUUUCUCUACUUCGGCGCCUCAUUUAUCCAUAGUUCUUCAAAAUCUGAGAAAUUUUUUGCUGAAGACUUUAAGGUUUCUCAACAUCUGUCUCACAGGGAGCUUCUCUUUGGUGUUCCAAUUAGAAAUGAGAUCAUUGAUUUUGCCUCAAGUACUGACCAAAAAAAAAAAAAAAAUGGGAAAACAGAUUUUUCUUCAAAAAUGUACUGUGUCUAUGUUAAGAAUUAGUACCAAACAUUUUCAGUUGGGAACAAUUUAUAUUCCUUUUAAUGUCCACUAAAUUAGCAUCGUUUUCAUAAGACUCAGCAGUUAAUAUCUUCCUGCUGUUUUCACUGGCCUUUGAAGCAGUAGAAAUGAAACCACUUACAGCAUUUCACCGUGAUGUUGCUGAGUUAGUAAAGCUGGUGGGACCUGACCUCACAUUCCUCCCCUGAAGGGGCCGAGGCCAAAACACCAUUGUCCCACGGUCGUUCAGAUUCAGCCAUCACCUCGAGACUGCAGAGCCCUCAAGACCCAGCCCUUAUCACACAGGCAUCUCAUGUCCGGCCUGCCACUCCUGGCCUUUUGCUGGGGCUUUAAGUGCUUCAGACCACUUCCAGCAGCCUUUCUAGAGCAGAAGGCUCUAUGGGAGUCUGUCUCUGGGAGCCAGCUGCAGGACUCCUGUUCUGAGGACAGUUCACAACAGUACCCUGGGCAGAACCCUGUCUCCCCAGCCUCUCCAGCCUUAUUCCUUGUGCACAGGGCAGAUGCAGCGAUCUUUUGAUUUGCAGGAGGUUCCCAGGAGGAUUAAGAACUGGUCAGCAAUUGUUCCUUCUCGGUCUUUCUCAUGCUACGUGGGAUGACUUCAAAUACAGAUCAGCUUCAUGCAGGAAGACAUAAAGAGCUACUGUUUUUCUGUAGUGGAGCUAGAUAUGCUUCUUAUUCUAAGUGCAAAGGACAAAUCUUUCUAAAAGAGACUCAGAUGGUGCGCUGAUUUUGCUCAGGCCACUUCUCCCUUGAGCCAUAGCAUGGAAUUAAUUGUGUUUAGUUCUUGCUUUGUCUAGAGAGCACAAUUUACAAAAGGUUUGGAAUGAAUUAAAGAUCAAAGAAUGGGAAUUUGUAAAGAAACCUAUGUCAUUGUAUAAUGCUGAUUAAAUACACACCUUCACAUUCCCAAGCAGUGGUCAAUUUUGAUUUGAUUUAACAUUCUUUAAAAUCCAGCUUAAUUCUUGUUAUCUCCUUCAACCUUGGGGCAGUG
rnacentral:lncRNA from 1 species